CAUAAAUGAAGUUAACUCUGCAGCAAGGACAAGCCCUUGAAAAUUCAGAUUGGGAGCUAGUUUAGUUUCUUCCAUCAAACCUCCACACUGGUAGCUUUACAAAUGGUUUUCUUUUUCAGAGCAAAGCAGCAGAGGUACUAUUAUUCCAACAUUACAGAUGUGGACCUGAGACACAGAAAAACUAAAAGAACUUGCCCGAGUCUGUUGCAAAAUACAUAAUUGACAUCUCAAGUCCCAGCUGUCAGACCUGCCAUGGUAGGAACCAGUGGCCUUGAACAAUGAAUCUGUUGAGAAUGCAGGGCUGAAGGAACUGAGUUGGAUGCAGAACAGCAGGACAGCAGCAGAACUGAAAUGGACAGCAGAUGCAAGAAACAGAAGUGACCUGGUCCUGUUGCAAGCUCUACUAGAAAAAAAAAUCAGCGAAGAAUGUAUUUCAAAGAGACAUCUAUUAAAUGAAACAAGUGUCAGCUUCCCAGAUCUGCUGAGCAACACAACAACGACGCACAAAGGGAGCACAACCAAUGGCAGGGAGACAAUUCACUGCAGGCGUUUGUAGUGAGCAUUUGUAUUACAGCUGCUGGCAGAAACUCUUUUUGAUAUCAAGGCCUCAUUGUGCUCGACCCUCUACAAACACAGCAAGACUGUCCCUAGACACAGACAAGCUGGACACAAGGUGGGAGAAAGGAAUCCUCUUCAUUUUACAAAAGAGGAGUGGGGACUUGAGACACACAGAAUUGCACAAGGCCACAGAAUGCUGAUGACCGAGCCAGGAACUGACCUUGGGUACUGAGAAGUGCCAGGUCAAUGCUUUAACACACAACAGUCCUUCCUUUCUGAUUGCACAAGUGUCACAAAGGCCAAACUAAUCUUGAGGAAUCUUUAAUCCUAGUGGUCACGCGCAUGAUGGAAAAGAAUCAACUUGACUCUUUGAGCUGAGGGUGGCAGUUAGAAUACACACUUUGUAAACUGAGCAAAUGAAAAUCACUGAGACUCAAGGCACUUUUCAUAGCUACAGCUCCUUCCUUGACUUGCCCUUUUGAAGAAGGACAGUGCACAUGGCUUAGUUUGGUGCUUAAAUGGCAGCUGAACUCCUGAAAGUCAAGCCCCAAGUGAUUUGGCCAAAAGGUUACACCAUGGAUUAAACCCAGUCUCCUGUGUUCCCCAACCAAUGUCAUACACACUAGGGUAUCCCUCUGCUCUAGCUUAGGGCUUGGUUCUGUACAGAACAGAUUAGGAGGUUGUAGCCAGACAGGAACGCCCCUGUAACAUCCAUUU